UGGGCUGUAAUCCCAGUUAAGUCUCCCCUGCCUCCUCAGUGUCUCUCUCCUCGCCCUUCUCACCUGAACCUCAGUGCUGAAAGCCCGGAAUCGCAGCUCUGUCUCCUGUAGAGCAGGCAGGGAGUCCCCAGGCAGAGCGAAACUUGCCAGCUGCUCGUCUCCUGGGCCCAAGAGCCACUGCAGCACCUGAGGCAGACAGGUUGAAGAGCAGGCUGUGAAGGAAAGGCUGAGGCCCUGUGCCAGCUCCACCACCCCAAUCUGCAGAUCCUUGGGUAGGCACUCCAGAGUCAAUCAGCUCUUUUCAGAAUCUCCAGGGGACCCCAAGCAUUUUGACUGCCACUAAGGAUCCCUGACCAAACAUCAACAGAGGGAAGAUCUGGCUUCAUCUUUGCAGUUCUCAUUAAGUGUCCCAGUCUGGCCUAGAACUUCUGAUCCUCUCGCCUCCCUCUUGUGAGUGGCUGGGACACCACACCACCACGCCACACAGCCCAGAGACUUUUAUGGAGGACUUAGAUUCAUGGGAUCAUGGGAGAUAAGUACUGGAAGAACCUUUACAGGUUGUAUCACAAUUGCUGCACUUUGCAGAUGAAGAUCCACAGUCCUGGAGACUAGUUCAGGGAGCAGAUACAGAAAGGACAGCAUAUCCAGAAGGGAGAUCACUCUCUGACAGCCACUCAGCACCCUACAGACAUGUGAAGGCAGGGAGUUUCUGCCUGGGCACCCAGGGAUUCAGAGUUCGGCCUGGAGGUCCAGCCAGCCCCUUCUGCUCUCCACUACUGAUGGGAGACCAGGGACCUCUCGGUCAACCUAGACCUGGAGCCACCAGCUCGAGACACCCUGGCUUCCUCCAGACCUGCCUCCCUAAAUGAAUCAGUGGGACAUCUUUCUCCAUCCCACACCCUGAACAACAGCUCCCUGGGCUGCUCCUUAGCAAGCUUAUUUCUCCUUUCAAGAUGGCCUUUGAAGUUCCUUUUAUCAGAUUUCUUUGCUUUAAAUGGGAAAGGGGGUGCUCAGUGCAGUAUUUACCCAGCUUUCUGCCUCCCCUCCGCCCCAUGCCUUGCUUUUGCUCGGAAGACAACAUUGCAUAUUUUACUGAGACUCUCCAGCUAAAGUAGCUUGCUUGUCUCGGCCGCCUGAGCAGCUAGGGCUUCCACUCCAGAGAGGGACAUUCAGUGCGUCAGCGCACAGCCCCAGCCCCAAGGUGUGUGGGCGAGCAGACAGACCCGCAGUGUUCCCGAGCCGGCGGGGGCUGUGCGCGUGGGUGGAGGGAAGGUCGGGAUGGGCAGGGGUGGGGCAGGGGUGAGACGGGGUGGGCCUUCGGCUGCAAGGCCGGGAGGGGAUAACUAGAGCUGGAGUAGCGAGGCAGCUGCAACCCAUUAGGGGCGGUGAGCUCAUGGCUGGGAGUCUCAGCCACAGGAAACGGCAGCGGCAGGAGGGGAGGAGGGGUCUAGGGCGGGAGGCGGUGGGAGCCCAGAGACCGGGCCUCUCGCUGGCCGGGACCAGAGACCCAGAGAGACUGAGUCAGCUCUGCCUGGCCCAGUUCCUCUUUCUUCUCGCUCCAGCUUACCAGGGGGUGCCCUUCCUCUCCGUAGAGGAGCAGCCCCGUGGGUGUCCUGCCCCUCCUCCACUCCCUGCAGUGAGCGCCCCCUGCCAGGGCCUACCCCCCCACUCUGCAGUGAGCGCCCUCCGUGGCCGCACCCCUCCCCUUGCAGAAGGCGCUCUCCCUGGCAGCGCCCACUCUUGCAGUGGUUCUUCACGAGUACUUCUGAACCAAAGUUCCAGGAAUUGCAUGCACUCCUGUGAUGUGGGUUCCAGUACCCCAGUUGUUGCCCCAGAGUCUUCCCCCUCGAGCGCUGAGCUCCAGCCCGUGCUCCCUCUCCGCCUCGCUAGUGCUCGAGGAAGCGCUUCUGUUCCCCGCAAUCUCUGGUCGGCUGUGGCAGCGCCACGCCCCCUAGUACCGUGCCACCCCUCUUCCCAUCCACUACCCUGCAGCAGCCCCUCUUUCUCCGCGGGAGUUUCCCUCUUUGGCCGUGCCCCUGGCCCUUGGCCCAGCCACAGCUGCGGCUAGUCCCUUAGGGCCGGAUGGGUGGGCCCGUCACACCGGGUUGGGGAUGGAAAAUGGUGAUUCCAGGCAGGUCAGCUCUGACCCGAGGCAGUGCCCCUUCUAGGGCCGCUGCAGGACCAACCCGCAGGGUCUGGAAAGGAAGAGAAACAUGUGCGUCCUUUUUGGAGAUGAGAAGAGUCCUCUGCUCCAAAACGCCGGAAAAGAAUCUGGGACAGCAAACCCUGGGAUGGAACUCAGGACCUUGUGCUUAUGAGGCAGGCGACAGCACCAGUGAGCUAAAUCCCCCGCCCUCGCCCUCGUAGGCCUCUUCUAAGGGCUGCUCAUCUGCAUCACAGACUCCUUUUCUGCCUCCACCUUCAUCGCUUACCACUCCUCUGAUGUGGUGAAAUGGCACCACCUGACAGCUUUCAAGGUAUUGGACAGCAGAUCUGGAGACAAGUCUCCAAGACCCUAAAAGCUCAAUUCUUCCUCCUGCCUGCAGAGCAGAGACAACAGACCUCAGGCUGAGUCUUCCACUGAAUAAUAUCUGGAAAGAGUUUUUAAAUAUCAGAUGACAUUCACUAUAUGUAUGUAUGUAUUUAUUUAUUUAUUUUUGACACUAGGGAUCAAACUCAGGACCUUGUGCUUGUGAGGCAAGGGAGCAGCACCACUGAGCUCAAUCCCCAGCCCCACUAUAUUUAUUUUUAAUUACAAUUUAUUAAGUAACCCUAGUAUCCUGUGACAGAUGAUUAUACAGUUUCAUUUUCAAAAAUUAUUUGAAUUAAAUAAGUAAAUGUAUAUUUAGUAAAUUUCAACACUGAAAUGAAUGGAUAUUGUGAAAAUUGUCAGAGGAAAAGCAAAUAACUGUAAUUUUUGGAAACUUGCUGUAUUGGUUAGGGUUCUCGAGAGGAGCAGAGUCAAUAGAAAAUAUAUGCAUAAUUAGGUAAAGAGAUUUAUUAUGUAAGGUUAUAGGAUCCAAAUGCACACUGGAAAGCUGGAGGAUCCAGUAGCUGUCCAGCCCAGGAAGAUGGAAGCUAUAGAACAGGAGGGAUGAAUACCACAUUUUCUUUAUCCAUUCAUCUGUUGAUGGACGUAUAGGCUGUGUCCAAGAUUUAGCUACUAUGAACUGUGCUGCUAUAAACAUGAGUAUGCAUGUAUCAGUCCGAGAUCAAAGGCCUGGAAGCUCACUGGAGAGUUACUGGUGUGAGUCUGCUAUGUGUUGGAAGGCUGAAGAAACUGGAGACUGAUGUCCACAGGUGACAGCAGUAAAAGACACACCUGCUCAAGCACAGCGGAACUCUUCAUAUAGUUAUCCUGGUUUGCUCUGCAACUCCAUUAUGCUGGACUCUCCAGAAGGCUGCUUAGUGCUGAGUGCAGAUGAAAUAAACAAGGCCCUGGUGUCUCAGGUCAACAGGAAAGAGAGAGAAAGUUGAAGUUUGCAUAUGAAAAUUGAAGUGGAAGAGUUGAAGCUGCCAUCUGUACAAUUCAGGCUGAAACCUUUGGACACAAUUAUUUGGCUUAGACGGUCAACUCCUAGAAGGCUAGAAGCCUCGGUCACAGUCCUUUUGUACCUCACACAGAAGUGGAAUUGAACAAGAAGCCUUGGAUGGCUUCAGCCAUCCCUUGGGUUUAAGGAGAACCCAGGAACCGUCUGUGACCAGGUCUACUGUUGGAGCCACUUGAGUUGGACAGGGCCAAAAGAAAUGUCAGUGAAAUCAUGUGGAGUGUACUCUGGGCAGAAUCUUGGGAGUUCCCUGGAAUUACAAGGACUCACCCCUCACUUGUUGUGUAGCUAAUGUUCUACAAAUGCUUACUGCUGGAGAAGGAGGGAUAAAAUGUAUUGAGGUUUACAGGCAGUGGGUCUUCUUUUGGCGGGGGGAGCUACUGGAGAUUGAAUUCAGGGCCUUUCCUGAAGAGCCCCAACCCUUUUAUUUUUUAUUUUGAGACAGGGUCUCAUUAAGUUGCUAAAUUGCCAAGAUUGCUUGAAUUUGUGAUGGCCCUGCCUCAGCCUCCUGGAGUACUGGGAUUACAGGUGUGCCCAUCUCAGAGGGUCCUCUUUAUAAGAAAAAUAAAUCAAAGUUAUCAUUUCAGUGUUGAACUACUGGCACUCCUUUUGACUGUAAAAGAACCAGCACCAUUACAAUAAAACUCUGUUUAACAAAAACCAUUUCCAAAAAGCUUUUGUACAUAGGGAGGGGAGGAGACUUGAGGGGAGAGGGGAA